AGAGUUUGAUCAUGGCUCAGAUUGAACGCUGGCGGCAUGCUUUACACAUGCAAGUCGAGCGGCAGCGCGGGGGCAACCCUGGCGGCGAGCGGCGAACGGGUGAGUAAUGCAUCGGAACGUACCUUAUAGUGGGGGAUAACGCGUCGAAAGAUGUGCUAAUACCGCAUGAGAUCCGCGGAUGAAAGCAGGGGACCCGAAAGGCCUUGCGCUAUGAGAGCGGCCGAUGUCCGAUUAGCUAGUUGGUGGGGUAAAGGCCUACCAAGGCGACGAUUGGUAGCUGGUCUGAGAGGAUGAUCAGCCACACUGGGACUGAGACACGGCCCAGACUCCUACGGGAGGCAGCAGUGGGGAAUUUUGGACAAUGGGCGCAAGCCUGAUCCAGCCAUGCCGCGUGAGUGAAGAAGGCCUUCGGGUUGUAAAGCUCUUUCGGUGGGAACGAAACGGGCGCGGUUAAUACCUGCGUCUAAUGACGGUACUCACAGAAGAAGCACCGGCUAACUACGUGCCAGCAGCCGCGGUAAUACGUAGGGUGCAGGCGUUAAUCGGAAUUACUGGGCGUAAAGGGUGCGCAGGCGGCGGCUCAAGUCAGGUGUGAAAGCCCCGGGCUUAACCUGGGAUGUGCGCUUGAAACUAGGUCGCUAGAGUGUGUCAGAGGGGGGUGGAAUUCCACGUGUAGCAGUGAAAUGCGUAGAGAUGUGGAAGAACACCGAUGGCGAAGGCAGCCCCCUGGGAUAACACUGACGCUCGGGCACGAAAGCGUGGGGAGCAAACAGGAUUAGAUACCCUAGUAGUCC
rnacentral:rRNA from 1 species